UGGAUAUGAUGUUAGAAAUAUAUUUGCUACUUCAGACGGGAGUCACAUCCCGAAUGAGACAUAAACAUAUAUCACCAAGAUCUCUGAUCCC
rnacentral:snoRNA from 1 species